rnacentral:rRNA from 1 species
AUUGAACGCUGGCGGCAGGCUUAACACAUGCAAGUCGAGCGGGGUGAUGGUGCUUGCACUAUCACUUAGCGGCGGACGGGUGAGUAAUGCUUAGGAAUCUGCCUAUUAGUGGGGGACAACAUCUCGAAAGGGAUGCUAAUACCGCAUACGUCCUACGGGAGAAAGCAGGGGAUCACUUGUGACCUUGCGCUAAUAGAUGAGCCUAAGUCGGAUUAGCUAGUUGGUGGGGUAAAGGCCUACCAAGGCGACGAUCUGUAGCGGGUCUGAGAGGAUGAUCAGCCACACGGGGACUGAGACACGGCCCAGACUCCUACGGGAGGCAGCAGUGGGGAAUAUUGGACAAUGGGGGGAACCCUGAUCCAGCCAUGCCGCGUGUGAAGAAGGCCUUAUGGUUGUAAAGCACUUUAAGCGAGGAGGAGGCUCUUUUGGUUAAUACCCAAGAUGAGUGGACGUUACUCGCAGAAUAAGCACCGGCUAACUCUGUGCCAGCAGCCGCGGUAA